AAAAUGUUCUCUACGCAUGCAUCGUGACUAUAUAGUGGAGUUUGCUUUUCAAAUGACGUUUACAAAAAUUUGGCCUUUUUAUGUAUGUAUGUAUGUAUGAAUGUUUGCCCAAGAUGUGACAUGCAUAUAAUUGCAUGAUGGUGAGUAAAUUUUCCAAGUAAUUUUCAUUCUAGCCAUUUAUACAGUUUCAUGAGUAUACAGACUACUUAGACUAGAAAGAAGACUGCUAGUUUUCGUUUAAACUGGAAGACCACAUAUGUCCAACAGCAUACUGUAUGUCCAACAAAGACAAACUGACUUGGUAUGGAUAAAUGGAAACAAAUUGAUAAAACUUCAUCUUUGGGAGGACCAUUAGAGACAAAUGCCCUGAGAAUGGCUCGUAUGAAACGGUGCAUGUAUCAUUUAGAUAGAUUGUCACAAAAUAAGUUUGUUCUGCUGAUAAUGGUAGUUAACUUUUGGAAGUGCUGACAUUUAUAUAAAGGUCUAACUACAUCCUGAUCUAUAUCAGUGCUAGAUAAUAGUGAAAAGCAUUAACAUUUUUCUCUCACUUUUGUAAUUGUAGGUAGAGCAUGCACCAUCAGCUGCACGAUACAACACCUAUUGCUUCAUCAAGGAAAAAUGAUAUAAGUGUAACAACUGUGCUACUGAAAGUCUCACUUAUAUUUCGAAUUAUUUUUUCUAGUUUUCAGCUGUUGACAGGAGUUCCACACCGAAUAUUCUUAUAAUUACCUUAUUUUGUCUUUUGGUCGACUGUCGCAUAUUCUUAGAGAGUUAUUUUAUGUACAAACAACUGGUUUGCAAUCCUCACUAAUUAUAAAGUUAUUUG